rnacentral:rRNA from 1 species
CAGUAGCCGCGGUAACACGAAGGGUGCAAGCGUUAAUCGGAAUUACUGGGCGUAAAGCGUGCGUAGGCGGUUUGUUAAGUCUGUUGUGAAAUCCCCGGGCUCAACCUGGGAAUGGCAAUGGAUACUGGCAAGCUAGAGUGUGUCAGAGGAUGGUGGAAUUCCCGGUGUAGCGGUGAAAUGCGUAGAGAUCGGGAGGAACAUCAGUGGCGAAGGCGGCCAUCUGGGACAACACUGACGCUGAGGCACGAAAGCGUGGGGAGCAAACAGGAUUAGAUACCCCUGUAGUCCCUGUCUCUUAUAC